rnacentral:sRNA from 1 species
CGAGAAAGCCCUACCCUCUGGUUCACCAGCAUGUCUACUGAAUUCUCUUGUUUCUAGGAAAAUUUACUGGCUUUAUUUUUCCCUCACAGAGUGAGGGAAAAAUCCCAGAUAUGGAUGAUUUGCCUGACUCUUGCUUUAAGGAUGAAUUUCUCUGCUUACCAUAGGAAACUCAUCUGCUGUUGACUUUCAUAAAGAGUCAGGACUGCAGAAGUCAGUUACAUCCUGCUGGGGGAAUCAUCUUCCCAGUAAGUGGGAAUAGGCACAUGGUUUGAGUAAUGGGCAAGUCAUCUAUAUGCUUUCUGUCCUUCAGGUACACCAGUACUAUAGCUGUCUCCCAGAAGAGAAAGUCCCUUAUGUCAACAGUCCUGGAGAGAAACUGCGAAUCAAGCAGCUACUACACCAGCUGCCGCCACAUGACAAUGAGGUUCGAUAUUGCAACUCCCUGGAUGAGGAAGAGAAGAGGGAGCUGAAGCUUUUCAGCAGCCAGAGGAAACGCGAAAACUUGGGCCGUGGGAAUGUCAGGCCUUUCCCAGUCACCAUGACAGGAGCUAUUUGUGAACAGGUAAGCAUGGAUUCAGGGGAGUGAAG